rnacentral:rRNA from 1 species
UACGGAGGGUGCGAGCGUUGUCCGGAAUCAUUGGGCGUAAAGGGCGCGUAGGUGGCUUCUCAAGCGUGCGGUGAAAGCCUGGGGCUCAACCCCGGGUCGGCCGUGCGAACUGGGGGGCUUGAGCACUGUAGAGGCAGGCGGAAUUCCGGGUGUAGCGGUGGAAUGCGUAGAGAUCCGGAAGAACACCGGUGGCGAAGGCGGCCUGCUGGGCAGUUUAGCUGACACUGAGGCGCGACAGCGUGGGGAGCGAACAGG